CGGCUGCAGUAGGGAAUAUUGCACAAUGGGCGAAAGCCUGAUGCAGCAACGCCGCGUGUGCGAUGAAGGCCUUCGGGUCGUAAAGCACUUUUCUGAGGGAUGAGCAAGGACAGUACCUCAGGAAUAAGUCUCGGCUAACUACGUGCCAGCAGCCGCGGUAAAACGUAGGAGGCAAGCGUUAUCCGGAUUCACUGGGCGUAAAGCGCGUGCAGGCGGUUCGGUAAGUUGGGCGUGAAAUCUCCUGGCUUAACUAGGAGAGGUCGUCCAAUACUACCGGACUUGAGAGUGAUAGAGGAAGAUGGAAUUCCCGGUGUAGUGGUGAAAUGCGUAGAUAUCGGGAGGAACACCAGUGGCGAAAGCGAUCUUCUGGAUCAUUUCUGACGCUCAGACGCGAAAGCUAGGGUAGUAAACGGGAUUAGAUACCCUAGUAGUC
rnacentral:rRNA from 1 species